rnacentral:rRNA from 1 species
AUUGAACGCUGGCGGCAUGCCUUACACAUGCAAGUCGAACGGCAGCACGGGAGCAAUCCUGGUGGCGAGUGGCGAACGGGUGAGUAAUGUAUCGGAACGGGCCCAGUCGUGGGGGAUAACGUAGCGAAAGCUCCGCUAAUACUGCAUACGAUCUGUUGAUGAAAGCGGGGGACCGUAAGGCCUCGCGCGGUUGGGUCGGCCGAUAUCAGAUUAGGUAGUUGGUGGGGUAAAGGCCUACCAAGCCGACGAUCUGUAGCUGGUCUGAGAGGACGACCAGCCACACUGGGACUGAGACACGGCCCAGACUCCUACGGGAGGCAGCAGUGGGGAAUUUUGGACAAUGGGCGCAAGCCUGAUCCAGCAAUGCCGCGUGCAGGAUGAAGGCCUUCGGGUUGUAAACUGCUUUUGUACGGAGCGAAAAGGCUCUCUCUAAUACAGGGGGCUCAUGACGGCACCGUAAGAAUAAGCACCGGCUAACUACGUGCCAGCCGCCGCAGUAA